rnacentral:tRNA from 1 species
AAGGCUUUAGCUUAAUUAAAGUGUCUGUUUUGCAUGCAAAAAAUGUGGGUUAGUGUCCUGCAAGUCUUA